rnacentral:tRNA from 1 species
AAAUGCAUUAGAAUUAGAAUCUAAACA